GGGGCAAAGUUCUCCAGAGGGCUGUGUAUGCUCUGAAUCAGCCUCCAAUACAUGAUACUGUUUCUCCCAUAGCCAGGACUUACAGGUCCAGUAAUCGAGGGGUGGAAGUGGAAGCGGCACCACUCACUAUCACCCCUAGUGAUCUACUAGCAAAAUUUUUGCUUCCUGUUCCCAUGACAUUACAUUCUGCUGGCUUAGAGGUCUUAGUUCCAGAAGGAGGAGUGCUGCCACCAGGAGACACAACAACAAUGCCAUAAAACUAGAAGUUAAGAUUGCCAUCUGGACACUUUGGGCUCCUCCUACCUUUAAGUCAACAGGCUAAGAAGAGUGUUACAGUGUUGGCUGGGGUGACUGGCCCAGACUAUCAAGAUGAAAUCAGUCUACUACUCCACAAUGGAGUUGCUGAAUGAUAAGCAAUAAUGGAAGGAAACUGUGAAAAUCACACUAGAGUGUCAAUGAAAAUCAUCUACAGUUGAUGGUAUCUAAAAGCGAUAUGACACUUCUGAAGUGGCCUUGUGACAUCAUCUCUGAAUAGAGAAGUUGAAUGAAAUAAGUUUGCAAGCACAUUCUGUAAGAACUUCUCCAGAGACAUGGGCUUUAGGUAUGUCUGCCCAGGAGUGCCAGUCACCAGUAAGAGUUUCAGUUCAUGUUUAUUCUGCAAAACUGGGUGAAGAAAAGUUCAUUUCUCAGCAGUACUUUCUCCAUAGAAGGUCUAAACUUUCGACCAGACUGAAGUCUAUUCAUGUAAUCAACUGUCUUUAAUAUUCAAUGUUCUUACUACAACAGCUGGGCAGGAUUGUCUUUCCCUCCCUGAACAUUUCUUCCUUCUUUGUCAGAAAACAAAUGAAUGUCCUCAGUAUUAUCAGAGUAAGUCCUUUAUCUACCCAAGGGUGCCAGGAUAUUUUAUCAAGUAAACAAAUUAAAAUGUUUCACCUUCAUUUGCCAA